GUGCUUGCUUAGGCAGUACAUAAACUGAAAUUAGAACAAGACAGAAGAUGAACAGGGCCUCUGCACAAGCGCGUCACGUAAAUUCGUGAAGCAUUCCACAUUUUU